rnacentral:rRNA from 1 species
GUUUGAGUGAAGGGGGGACGCAGGAGGAUAGGGUAAGCGCGCUGGUGGAUUAGCGCGUCCAAGCAGUUAGGCUGGCAAGUAGGCAAAUCCGCUUGCCAUAAGGCUGAGCUGUGAUGGCGAGGGAAAUUUAGUACCGAAGUUCCUGAUUCCACACUGCCAAGAAAAGCCUCUAGCGAGGAAACAGGCGCCCGUACCGCAAACCGACACAGGUAGGCGAGGAGAGAAUCCUAAGGUGAUCGAGAGAACUCUCGUUAAGGAACUCGGCAAAAUGACCCCGUAACUUCGGGAGAAGGGGUGCUCUUUGGGGUGCAAGCCCUGAGGAGCCGCAGUGAAUAGGCCCAGGCGACUGUUUAGCAAAAACACAGGUCUCUGCGAAGCCGCAAGGCGAAGUAUAGGGGCUGACGCCUGCCCGGUGCUGGAAGGUUAAGAGGAGGGCUUAGCGCAAGCGAAGGUCCGAAUUGAAGCCCCAGUAAACGGCGGCCGUAACUAUAACGGUCCUAAGGUAGCGAAAUUCCUUGUCGGGUAAGUUCCGACCCGCACGAAAGGCGCAACGAUCUGGGCACUGUCUCAACGAGAGACUCGGUGAAAUUAUACUAUGCGUGAAGAUGCGCAUUACCCGCGACAGGACGGAAAGACCCCGUGGAGCUUUACUGCACCCUGAUAUUGACUGUCUGUGCAGCUUGUACAGGAUAGGUAGGAGCCUUGGAAACCGGAGCGCCAGCUUCGGUGGAGGCAACGGUGGGAUACUACCCUGGCUGUAUGGACCGUCUAACCCGCACCCGUGAUCCGGGUGGGAGACAGUGUCAGGCAGGCAGUUUGACUGGGGCGGUCGCCUCCUAAAGAGUAACGGAGGCGCCCAAAGGUUCCCUCAGAAUGGUUGGAAAUCAUUCGCAGAGUGCAAAGGCAUAAGGGAGCUUGACUGCGAGACCUACAAGUCGAGCAGGGACGAAAGUCGGGCUUAGUGAUCCGGUGGUUCCGCAUGGAAGGGCCAUCGCUCAACGGAUAAAAGCUACCCCGGGGAUAACAGGCUUAUCUCCCCCAAGAGUUCACAUCGACGGGG